rnacentral:lncRNA from 1 species
CAUUGAUAUAUGAAAACAUCAUCUAUUUUGAAACAUCAAAAACUCCCUAAAACUUUAUAUAUGUAGAAGCAGAGGGAGUAUUAAAUAUCUAUUGUCCGAAAACAUCUUAAGACUAACAUUUUCCCAAGUAUUAACCCUUACUUUCACAUGUACAAAGACUAAAUUAGUACUCAAACCAAUUCAAAUGAAAAAAUCGACAGAUUAUCCCCUAUUAUAACAAAUAAAUUUCAGUAAUCCAUGAAUUCUGUUGAAAAUCUAAAUUUGAAUUAGUAUUCAACAAAUUUCCAGAUGUCUCAGACAUGGAAUUAGAGAAAACUCGGAUCAACGAAAAAUAAUAGAUAAUCGUAUAAAGAAAAUAAAAAUUGGGUCUAGAAUUUUUUUCAAGAGGUAGACUCAAAACUUCGUCUUUCCAAAAUUAAAAGGGCUCCACAAACUAUUUUGAAAAAGAAAGUGUAGCCUAACAAUAGCUGAAAUUAUGGUGAAUAUGUAAAAAUCACACCAUGGUCAGGAAGAUAUCCUUCUUUUUUGAACCAUAGGUCUGGAAUUGAUGGAUCAUAAAAAUAGAUCGAUCGAUCUGUGUGCAUAAUAUUUGGUCUCAUUGUUUCUGGUCAAUCAAUAAUUUCUCGAUGUUUUUUCAUGCAUUGGUUUGAUCGAUCUGAACUCCAUUUGAGGUUGUUUUGUUCCAAUCAUUUCUCAUCACGCCUCAAAUUCUAUCCAAAUGUUGUUUUACAUGAAAAAACUUUAACGUUAUAAAAGACUCAAAAAUGAUUGAAUACCGAAAUUAGAACACCUUCAAACACACAACCCAUAAGAUGUUUCAACCAUAAAUCAAUGAUAAUUCUCCAUUUAUUUAAAGUCAUCAUAACUUGUUCAAAGUCGUGCUCAUAUUUAAAUGUGAACUGAAAUCUAUAUGUAAAUGACACUACACAUCUACACAAUCACACACUUGCAACUGUAUUGGUAUUUCCAAAAUAAAAUUCAACAUGAUUUGACGUUAUGUAUUAAGUGUUAUCAUGAAUAUCUUGUUCCUCUCACGGGAAAAAUAUUAAGGAAUAUGUGAUAGCGUUAGAGCAUCCCCAACCCAACUGCAAAAUUUACUGCAAAAUGGAGUAAUGCAUUUUUUGUUUAAUGCAAUAUGGAGUAAUGCAUUUUUGUUUUUCAUAACUGCAUAAUUUACAUCAUUUUGCAGUAAAUUAUGCAGUUGGGUUUGAGAUGCUCUUAAAAGACGCUUUCUCUUCUUCCAGCGACAUUGCCAUGAACGCUUUAUUAAUUUGUCAUCAAACUUUACACCAGAAAUAUAGCACUUCACAUUUUUUUCCACCACCUCAAAAAAAAACACCACUAGAGUGGUUAAGGAGUAACUGGCUCUCAAAAACUUCUAAAUAACUCUAAACACAUCACAAAGAAACAUAAAAGAUUACUUUCUUUUCAUCCAUAAAUUUUUUUAAUCUCACAAAGUCUCACCAUAAGAAAAUAAAAUCCAGUCUUAUUUCUUAAGUGUCAAAGACUAUAUAUGAAAAGAGUCUUAGUUAAGUCUAUAUGUUGAUGAAAAAAAAACUAUAUAUCUAAAAAAAAGAACCGUAGGUUCAAAAAGAGAACCAAAAAGAACAAAAUUGAUCCUAACCAUAACUGUAAACUGAUUUUU